GAAAUGCGAUACGUAAUGUGAAUUGCAGAAUUCAGUGAAUCAUCGAAUCUUUGAACGCAUAUUGCGCUCUUUGGUAUUCCGAAGAGCAUGCUUGUUUGAGUAUCAGUAAACUCCCUUUAUGUUAGCUGCAGCUGGACUUUCUCCUGAGCUAAAAGCAUAUUCAUUUAGUCCCAUCAAACGGAUUAUUAUUUUUGCUGCAGCUAACAUAAAGGGAGUUUGACCGCAUUGGCUGACUGAUGCAGGAUUUCACAAGGGUCGGCAACGAUUCUUGUUAAACUCGAUCUCAAAUCAAGUAAGACUACCCGCUGAACUUAA
rnacentral:misc_RNA from 1 species